rnacentral:rRNA from 1 species
GGGUCUGUCCAUUGCUCGGGCUUUACGGUCCGUACUGGUGAGAUGGGUUCCUACCUUCUGAAUAACCGGCAUGCCAUUCAGUUGGUGCGCCGGGGAAGCAGAGCUAUUACCUUGAAAAAAUUAGAGUGCUUAAAGCAGGCUAUUGCUUGAAUAGAUUAGCAUGGAAUAAUAAAAUAGGACGGCAUGGUUCUAUUUUGUUGGUUUCUAGGAUCACCGUA